CCUUCUCUCUUGUUCUUCUUUUUUCCUCCUUCUUCUCCCCCCCUCCCUCUUUAUGAUCUUCUGAAGCAGAUCAGAGUAAGGAAGAAUCUGUAAAGCUCAGGAGGGAUAGCGCCGCGACACUGAAGAUCCUUAUCACUGCAGUGUACUUGGCGCUAUCUAUCCUGAGUUUCACGGCUUCUUCUUACUGCGUAUAUACUCUCACCAGGUUCAAUAUCUGAGAACUGCGCACCCCAUGUUUAAAGAUUCAUGGAUUCAAAUCUAACGUUACAAAAAUGCUACUGAAGUGGAUUUGUUUUGUUCUUGGUAUUUUGCGUGGUGUGGUUUAUGUGGUAAACAAACUAAGGUGAACGCUUUCCAGUCACUUUGUUAUCUUUGUUCUUUCAGUCUUGUACCUGUGGAGCCUGUUAAACGGGUGUUUUUAGCGACUACCUCUUCUCUUCUCUGGUUCAAGAGGCCGAGAAAAGAGGUGGGGAGGAAUUUUAACGCUCGUGUGUAGUCCCUUAUGAUAGAUACAGGCUGACCUGGUUUUAAUCCCACAGAAAAAAAUUUUGCCUCAUGAUUAGUUCAUUCUCUCGACCUCACGUUCUGUGUAAAAAGAGAGGCUUUUUAAUCGGUUGCCCUAGGGGGAUUUCUCUCAGGUCACGGGAUUCACUUUUGAGGAUUCUAGAGGGAGCUCGAAAUGCCUUCUUAUCCAAUAGAAGGACGGAGACCUUCUCCUAACUUCGCAAAGCAUGUUUUGAUUUUCGAAGCUUGUGAAUGUCUGAUGCUUUGACCAGUUGGCUGGCUGACAUGUACAAAAAGAUACGAGCUUCUUUUUUCCCUAGUCACUGACAGAAGGUCUAAAAGUAUAUUGUUUGUAUUUUCAUCAUGUUUUCUGAGAACCGUAUUGAUGAGUUGGUUCGCUUUUUAAUGGCGAGUCUGAUCCAAACAGGACCCUACGCAACCCCCUUUUUCCUUUCUGAGCUCGAUCUGAAAAGCAAAACCCUAGUGUUUCCUUGCAGCGACAGGGAAGCUAUUUCGAGUUAAGAACUGUACCCGAUGGGCUAGGGUUUCUCUAUUUUAUUUGACUGCAACAUUUGCAGGCCUUUUCGUCAGUCAUAAUGGUGCGUUAGUUACUGUGGAUGUUGACUCGUUUCCAACUGGGUUCCGCUCACAUGUCUCGUCCCUUUCGUCUCCUUCCAUUAUUUACUUCCCUUCAUAAUCUUCAUCAUUAAAUUCCCAUUAAAAGCAAUGUUUAUGUAAGAGAACUACAUUUAAUUAAUUACCCUCUCUGUCCCCUCCACCCACGUACUCACACACCAUCACAAGUUUUCUUUUGUCGCAUUUUUUUAAUUCAUGACCCCAUGCAGCAAGUAAUUAAAUAUAUAUCAAAUGGGCCAAAUAAAUUAGAGAUUUUCUCAGUCUUGCAGAUGAUGAUGCUGAGCUUGACCUCAAAUUCAACCGCCCUUUUUCCCCCUGUUCUUUUGCUUCCUUUCCUCUUCCGUGUUACUUAUCCAUUUCCUGUUAAAGAUGCAAUGGGAAUCAUAUGGUUGGCCAUUAUGAGAAAUUGGGAUGUAAUAUAAUAUCUGAAUGGACUUGUUUUAAAGAUUUACAAGUUUGAAUCAACUUUAGGGCACAGGAUGUGCCUUGAUGUACGGGGACAAAGCAGCCAACUGUACUGUAUUAGAUGUCCAAGCUUCUCCUGUUAAUUAUUUAUUGCACAUCUUUAGUUGAAUAAAGCAACAUAUUUGUACAGAUUUUCAUCUCUUAAAAACUAAAAAGGACUUGUAGGUGCUGUGGCUGAACAGGAUUCACCACCUCUUCGCACAGUAUUAUGUUUGCCUUUAAAGAUGAGUUUGAAUUGUUCAUCAGAAUAUAGUACUUCACGAUGAACUCAAGGUUGCUUUAGUACUGUGGUGAACAAACAUAAAAUAUACAUACAAUCGCUUUUUGUUUUGGGAGUAUCAAUUUCAGACAUAAAUAAGCUAGCUGUUAAAUGUAGCGUACAUUUAUAUUCUCUUGCACACAAACACAUAUAAUAUACAGAGAGAGCUGGCCGGAGCAGGAAUUAAUUAGGGCAAUGCUGCAGCAGUGAGAGUGGCAGACCAAAAUGAUUAUACUGGUGUGAAUUAAAAUGAUUCCUAUCAUCAACUGGCUCAAGCUUUGGAGACCAAUUAACCAAAAGAAAAGAAAAAUGAAGUUCUUAAUUCCUUAAUCCAUACCCGUGGUUCAGCUGGGUCAAGCUUUUGAAAUGUAGUAGUUUUAGUGUAACAUACUCUUUCCCAUUGUCCAUAAUCGAUGCAAGUGAUAUUUCAGGCGGAGUUUGAUGAGGUGGUGGUUUGAGUCGAACCAAUCAUACAUGAUUAUGGUAGAAGUGUCGUUGUGUCAGCAAGAACAAGACCAUUGGAAAUCAUUCUUAAAGUAAUGAGUGUGCUCGUUCGUGUUCGUGUUCGUGUAUGUAUGUUGUGGUGGGGAAGAGUGUCUUCAAGCGGACAAAGCAUGAUGUGCGAAAUAAAUCAUUCUUACACAACUGAUAGCCAUUUAUUUAUUACUGAGAUUGAGAAACAGAUAUAGCAGCUCAUUAGAAUGUAAACUUCUUUUCAUUAGUCAAUAACUGUCUUGAGGAAAGGUAAAGUUUGAAUUCUAAA